rnacentral:rRNA from 1 species
GAUGAACGCUGGCGGCGUGCCUAAUACAUGCAAGUCGAGCGAACGGACGAGAAGCUUGCUUCUCUGAUGUUAGCGGCGGACGGGUGAGUAACACGUGGAUAACCUACCUAUAAGACUGGGAUAACUUCGGGAAACCGUAGCUAAUACCGGAUAAUAUUUUGAACCGCAUGGUUCAAAAGUGAAAGACGGUCUUGCUGUCACUUAUAGAUGGAUCCGCGCUGCAUUAGCUAGUUGGUAAGGUAACGGCUUACCAAGGCAACGAUGCAUAGCCGACCUGAGAGGGUGGUCGGCCACACUGGAACUGAGACACGGUCCAGACUCCUACGGGAGGCAGCAGUAGGGAAUCUUCCGCAAUGGGCGAAAGCCUGACGGAGCAACGCCGCGUGAGUGAUGAAGGUCUUCGGAUCGUAAAACUCUGUUAUUAGGGAAGAACAUAUGUGUAAGUAACUGUGCACAUCUUGACGGUACCUAAUCAGAAAGCCCCGGCUAACUACGUG